rnacentral:rRNA from 1 species
UACAGAGGGGGCAAGCGUUAUUCGGAAUUAUUGGGCGUAAAGGGCGCGUAGGCGGUAUGGCAAGUGGAAGGUGAAAUCCCUCGGCUUAACCGAGGAACUGCCCUCCAAACUGCUGUGCUCGAGGGAGACAGAGGUGAGCGGAACUUUGGGUGGAGCGGUGAAAUGCGUUGAUAUCCUAAGGAACACCGGUGGCGAAAGCGGCUCACUGGGUCUCUUCUGACGCUGAGGCACGAAAGCUAGGGGAGCGAACGGG